CCAGAGGCAGCAGCCAGUCGUCCCACCCUGAGGGAUGCGGAGGAGUUACCAGUCCUACCACCUUCUCCGGAACCCACCCCUGUUUCUGAGCCUGACCCUGGGGUGGCUGACCCUGGAUUAGAGGAAGGACAAGAGGUACCAGAGGAUCAGGAUGGUCAGGACGACCCAGUUUCCCGUCUAGCCUCCUCAUCUUCCUCCCUGGACAAGACUGUGGCUGGCACCUCCACCUCCAGGCCUCCCCCUAUAGAUAGCCAGGCCCACCAGGAACUAUGCAGGGUGGCAUGAAAUAUGAAAUUGCAGGUCGAAGAGGUGGUAGAGUCCAAGGACCCUAUGGUGGAUAUUCUGGCACCGAAAGAGCUACCCUAGAUGGUCCCAUCACUCAGCAAAACUAUCCAGGCCAAUGCAAAGACUCUGGUCUCCAUCCCUCCCACUGCCAAGGUGGUGGAGAGGAAAUAUUUCAUCCCCACUAAAGGGUACAAAUACCUCUUCACACACCCACAGCCCUGUUCCCUAAUGGUGGCUGCAGUGGAUGAGAAGAAGAGGCAGGGACAGCAAGCUCCAGCACCUAAGUCCAAGGGCGCCAAGUGCCUGGAUUUAUUCGGACACAAAGUAUACUCCACAGGAGGCUUACAAUUUGGGAUUGCCAAUCAGCAGGCAAUCCUGAGUAGAUACAACUUCAACUCCUGGAACGCAAUGCUGAAGUUUAAGGAAUUGAUACCAGCAAAGUCCAAAGAGGAGUUUGGGGCUAUUAUUGAAGAGGGCAAGGCAGUGGCACGGACCUCUUUACAGGCCGCACUGGACGCUGUGGACUCGGUAGCGCACACCUUGUCCUCGGGAAUCACCAUGAGUCGUAGCUCAUUGCUGCAGGCCUUGGGGCUUCCGCCCAAGGUUCAACAAACUAUGCAGGAUCUGCCUUUCGAUGGGGUUGGUCUGUUUGCUGAACAGACAAACUCCAGGCUGCAUAGCCUAAAGGAUUCCAGGGCUACAAUGAAAUCCUUGGGUAUGCACACCCCGGCAACCCAAAAAAAGCCCUUUAAGCCCUAACCACAGCAACAGCGGUCAUAUCCUUCUUGGCUGAGGCAGGAUCCCUACAGACGCUGGAGCAGAAAUGGCUAGUGCAAGCCUCCCCAUCCUCUGUCUGGGCAGGACCAGGGCCCAACUAAACCUUCAUCAGGCUCAAAGCAGCCAUUUUGAAGGUGUGCCCGAGGACGGAGCACCUGUCUCAGCACCGGAUCCUUCCCCAUGUUUUCUGAACUGUCUAUCCCACUUCUACCGUGCUUGGGUCCAAAUAACAUCAGACAGUGCUGGGUUCUUCACGCGGCAGGGGUGGGUUAUUCUCUCCAAUUCUGCUCCUUCCGUUCCUCCCACCCCCCUUCCCUGUCCCUCUUCAGGGACCCUUCUCACGAGCAGCUCCUUAUCCAGGAGGUGCUGUUGCUCCUCGCCAUAGAAGCGGUGAGGGAGGUUCCUCAGGAGCUAUGGGGAAAGGGAUUCUAUUCCCGUUAUUUUCUAAUCCCUAAGACAAAGGGGGCUCAGACCCAUUCUAGACCUGUGAGGACUCAACGAAUUCAUGGUGAAGUUGAAGUUCCAUAUGGUCUCCCUGAGCAGGAUUAUCCAUUCCCUGGAUUCGGGAGACUUGUACGCCACUCUCAACAUGAAAGAUGUACUUUCAUAUAGCCAUUUGCCCCAGGCACAGACAAUUUCUAAGGUUUGUGGUUGACCACAAACACUAUCAGUUCAUGGUCUUCCUAUUCGGUCUGUUGACAGCCCCCUGAGUUUUCACCAAGUGCGUGUCAGUCGUAGCGUCUUCGUUCGCAACAGACAGCUGCAGGUACACCCCGACCUCAACGACUGGCUACUCAAGGGGUUUACUAGGGAGCAGGUGGAAUCUCAGAUCCAGUUUGUCGGAUCCACAUUCGAGAGACUGGGCCUCCUCCUCAUUGUGAAUAAGUCAACCUUGUCUCUGACCCAGAGAAUAGAAUUCAUCGGAGCAGUGCUGGACUCGGUGCAGGCAAGAGUGUUUUUGCCAGAUACACGAUUCCAAGCCAUAUCAAACAUCAUUCAAGGCCUCAGGCGAUUCCCGACCACUACUGCAGGGGGUUACCUAUAUCUCCUUGGCCACAUGGCAGCCUGCACUUAUGUGGUCCGGCAUGCCAGGCUGAGGCUCAGACCCCUGCAAGCGUAGCUUGCAUUGGCCUAUUGCCCGGGACGUGACAACCUGGACUUAGUAGUGAUGGUACCAGAGCACGUACUCGAGUUCCUCGAAUGGUGGCUCGACCCUCAAGAUGGUGUGCAAAGGAGUCCCCUUCAACAGCCCCCAGCCCUCCUCGUCCCUGGUAAUGGACACAUCACCUCUGGGUUUGGGGUGCGCAUUUGGGAGAUCAACAAACACAGGACCUAUGAUCUUGGGAUGAGCUCUCCCUUCAUAUCAACGUCAAGGAGCUCAGGGUGGUACGCCUAGCAUACCAAACUUUUCGGGCCCAGCUGUAAGGCUAGUGCAUGGCAAUAAGGACAGAUAACACCACUGCCAUGUUUUACAUCAACAAGCGGGGUGGAGCCUGUUCCUCCCCUCUGUGUCGAGAAGCCUUCAGGCUCUGGGAGUUCUGCAUAGCCUACUCCAUUCACCUGGAAGCAUCCUAUUUCCCAGGGGCUCAGAACAACCUGGCAGACCACCUCAGCAGAUCGUUCCGCAAUCACGAGUGGUCCGUCUGUCCAGACAUCAUAUACUCCAUCUUCCAAAGGUGGAGGUUUCUCCAGGUUGAGCUGUUUGCCACCCACAGCAAUAGGACGUGCCCAAUGUUCUGCUCCUUCCAGAAUCAUAGCCUGGGCUCCGUCACAGACAUGUUUCUGCUACCCUGGGAAGGCUGCCUGUUGUACACCUUUCCCCCAUUCCCUCCUGUGCACGAGGUCUGCAGGGACAGAGCAGAGGUAAUCCUGGUGAGCCCCAGUGUGGCCUCGACAGCACUGCUACACAACGCUCCUAGAACUGUCAGUGGGCACCCUGAUUCAGUUGCCACUCCACCCUGACCUGAUCACUCAGGACCAUGGUCACCUGCUCCACCCAAACCUCAAGUCCCUCCAUCUCCUGGCUUGGAAGCUCCAUGGAACUUCUGUGCUUGGAACCUGUAAGGGAGGUCCUGCUUGGCAGCAGGAAACCAUCCACCAGGGCCACUUAUCUUACUAAGUGGAAAAGGUUCACUUGCUGGUGUGCCCAGCGAUCUACACCUCCACUCCAGGUGCCUAUACGACUCAUCCUAGAGUACCUCCUACACCUAAAACAACAAGGCCUGGCAGUGUCAUCCAUCAAGGUUCACCUCUUUGCUAUCUCGGCCUUUCACCCAGGAGUAUCUGGACGCUCCAUAUUUGCCAACCCCAUGGUGGGACAUUUUCUCAAGGGCCUGGAACGCUUCCAUCCCCAGAUUAGACAGCCUCUCCCUGCAUAGGACCUUAACUUGGUCCGCUCCAACUAAUGAGGACCCCCAUUUGAACCGCUAGUGACUUGCUCCCUUCUGUCUCUAUCAUACAAGGUAGCUUUUCUGGUCACCAUUACCUCAGCAAGGAGGGUGUCUGAGUUAAAGGCCCUCACCUCUGACCCACCUGACACCAUCUUCCACAAGGAUAAGGUGUGAUUUAGGCCUCACCCAGCCUUUCUUCCUAAGGUUGUGUCAAUUUUCAUACGAGUCAAGACCUAUACCUGGCCAUUUUCUAUCCUAAACCUCAUGCCAGUAACUGCGAGCAGAGGCCGCACACUCUGGUUGUUAGCCGGGUGCUGGCCUUCUACAUCAAAUGCACUAAACCUUUCAGAAAUUCGAACCAGCUAUUUGUAGCGUGGCUGACCGGAUGAAAGGACUCCCGGUACCCUCGCAAAGAAUAUCUUCCUGGAUCACAUUCUGCAUCCCCAUGUGCUACUAGUUAGCCAAAAUCCCAGCCCCGACACUUAGAGCAUACUCCACAAGGGUACAGGCUUCAUCAUCAGCAUUCCUGGCCUAGGUCCCGAUCCAAGAAAUCUGCAGGGCAGCAACUUGAUCCUCAGUGCAUACGUUCACCUCUCAUUACAGCAUCGUCCAGCAUGCUAGAGAUGAUGCAGCUUUCAGCAGAGCAGCGCUCCAAUGAGCGAUUCCAUAACUCCGACUCUACUGCCUAAGUAAGGCUUGGGAGUCACCUAACUGGAAUCGAUAUGAGCAAUUAUUCAACAAAGAGAGAACUGUUGUUCACCUUCUUGUAACUAUUGUUCUUCAAGACCUGUUGCUCAUAUCCAUUCCAAACCCACCCACCUUCCCCUCUGUCGGAGUAACUGGCAAGAAGGAACUGAGGAGGCACCGCGUCUGCAGGGUCAUAUAUAGCGCACUAUAGAGGUGCCACACCAGGGGGCGCCACGGCCAACCCAACGGGUGCUGCUAAGGGAAAAACUUUCAGACAACUGUGCAUGCGGCACGCACACACCUAAUUGGAAUGGAUAUGAGCAACACAUCUCGAAGAACAACAGUUACAAGAAGAUGAGUAACUGUUCUUUUUUGGGGGGCCCCUAAAAUAUACCUUUCUUUAAAGAAAUAUAAAUCCAAUUGAACAUUUCUUAAAAAGGUAACUUUUACAUACCUUUAAAAUUCACAUUGUUCAGUAUAUAUUUGGUCACUAUGAAGAUUGUUACUGCCUAUUUGAUCAUGACAUCCCAGUUUUGUGUGUAUUAGUGCACACUUCUGGAUGACCUUGCAGGACCUUUUCAUAGAUCAGUUAUUUCCUGAUAGGUACUUGGUUCAGCAUAGUUGAAUCUGACUGUAAAAUUUAGAUUGUAAGAUACUUGUGGCAGCAAACAACAUGUUUUCGUAUGUAUCUGUAAACCAUCUAGCACCUUUGGUAAACAACAAAAUUCCCAGACAAAGACCUUAUGAAGAUAGAGUUAAGGCUGGGAAGAACAGAUCAGUAAAUUAAAAGUUAAAAUCCUUAGAAGAACAUUGUAGUUGUGGAGGCUGGAAAGGGUGGGAAAAGGGAAAUGUUUAAAUUUCUGGUUCUAAGUUCAAGCACAGCAUGGAAAUUUGCAGCUACUGCUAUUCCAUCAUAUUGUUGCCUCUUUUUGACCGGAUCCUUAGUCAAGGUUUGGGACCCUGGGAUGGUCCAGCUGGAAGUAGAAAUUUGUGAUAGGUAUUUCUUUGGUGCAGUUUUGUUUAUUUGCAAAGAAUGUACAAAGUCCUGUCUCUCUGAAUGCAGGAGGAACCAAAAACAAAAGGAACAGUUUCUUAGCUUACUGCCCUGAAGCCUCUUUAUCUAAUACCAGACCCAAAAGCUCACUGUCUAGCUUUUUCCAGGGUCACACUGUGCUCACAGGCUCCUGCUUGGCUUAUCUUGCCUCUUUGCUUCUUCCUCUUUCUCUGUUCUUGUCUGUGACCUCAGUAUCUCUGUGUUCUCUCACACUCCCACACACCUAUCCAAAGAAAUACUCAGCCCAAAAGCUCCCAGGCAGGGAGUCUCACACCUUUUUCUCUUAGGUAGGGCUUAUGUUUAAAGUUAGGUGAAAACUCACCCUUCAGUUAACAUAUCAACCUCAAUGGGGUUUUAACCUAACCCAUAGCAAGGUUUCACCCAGCUCAUAAUGGUAUGUAUUAUCAUCAUGACCGGAAAUGUGUGAGUUCUUCCUCCAUAAAAUCCAAUUUUGGAGAGGUUGUUAUUCUCUCAAGACUCAGCCUGGAGUUACUAUUUUUUUUUUAUGGUCUAUGCUGUGAGUCCCUGGAAAAAUAAAUCCGUAUUGAUAGUGUAAGCACUGGGGUAGCAUUAACUCAUUCCAAGAUUAGACUGAGUCUGUUUCCAUUUACAUCCUGCUCACGUACCAGUUCUUCCUCCAUUUUGACUUGCUGAGAUAAUGUUCACCAAAAACAGUCCUUGGAUUCCCCACAUUGGUGUAUUUAUAUCUUCUUUUGUUGGGUCCAGCAUCCCUUAGAAAUACUUUUUAGUAGGGCUAUCCAGCCUUAGGUGCAACCUUCAGCCAGUAAUUCUGUAGAAUUGUUUAAAAUUCUGUUUAAAAAGUGACACCUGCAGGACAGCUAGCAAUGGCUGAGAAUGCAGACAGCUUGGGGCCAUGGCAGCAUGAGAUCCAAGGCUCCCAUUCUGAACCCUUAUCAAGACUCACCACUCUCAUCUUGUAAAUAGUUUAGUCCAGGUCUUCAGUUGAUGUAAAUCACAGUAGCUCCAGUGACUUGCCACAGCAGAGGAGCCAGCCUUUUAUCUUUAAACCACGUAGUAAAUUUUAGGAAAGAGAAUCGUGAUCUGUAGUAUUUUAAUAGAUCCAUGGCCCACACAGUCACAUUUCUUGUCUCUUACUGCUGUCAAUUGCAAAUGCAUUAAGAAAGCAUAAAGGUCCCGUUUCCCCUGCCCCCCUCCCACAAGUGUAAAUGAAGUGCCAAAAAUGGUCUCUCAAUUAACUGAUUGCAUUCAAAUCUUCAUAUUGUGAAAACUGUAUUGUGAGAAGAUGUCUUGGCUAUCUGGGGUAGCAAAACAGUUA